rnacentral:rRNA from 1 species
GCAUGAGAAACGGCUACCACAUCCAAGGAAGGCAGCAGGCGCGCAACUUACCCACUCCUGGCACGGGGAGGUAGUGACGAAAAAUAACAAUACGGAACUCUUUUGAGGCUCCGUAAUUGGAAUGAGUACACUUUAAACCCUUUAACGAGGAUCUAUUGGAGGGCAAGUCUGGUGCCAGCAGCCGCGGUAAUUCCAGCUCCAAUAGCGUAUACUAAAGUUGUUGCGAUUAAAAAGCUCGUAGUUGGAUCUCAGGCAUGGGCGCACGGUCCGCCUUGCGGCGGUCACUGUGUGUUUUGUUUCCCAUCCUACGCUUCCCGGUUGUUCAGCCCAUGGUGCUCUUCAUUGAGCGUUUUGGGUGGCCGGAACGUUUACUUUGAAGAAAUUAGAGUGUUCAAAGCAGGCACGUCGCCUGAAUAAUGGUGCAUGGAAUAAUGGAAUAGGACCUCGGUUCUAUUUUGCUGGUUUUCGGAACACGAGGUAAUGAUUAAGAGGGACAGACGGGGGCAUCCGUAUUGCGGUGUUAGAGGUGAAAUUCUUGGAUCAUCGCAAGACGAACGACUGCGAAAGCAUUUGCCAAGCAUGUUUUCAUUAGUCAAGAACGAAAGUCAGAGGUUCGAAGACGAUCAGAUACCGUCGUAGUUCUGACCAUAAACGAUGCCAACUAGCGAUUCGCUGGUGUUGCUUCAUCGACUCUGCGGGCAGCUUCCGGGAAACCAAAGUUUUCGGGUUCCGGGGGAAGUAUGGUUGCAAAGCUGAAACUUAAAGGAAUUGACGGAAGGGCACCACCAGGAGUGGAGCCUGCGGCUUAAUUUGACUCAACACGGGAAAACUCACCCKGUCCGGACACUGUAAGGANNGACAGAUUGAUAGCUCUUUCUUGAU